UACAGAGGGGGCAAGCGUUAUUCGGAAUUAUUGGGCGUAAAGGGCGCGUAGGCGGCCUGGCAAGUGACGGGUGAAAGCCCUCGGCUUAACCGAGGAACUGCCUGUCAGACUGUUAGGCUUGAGACCGGGAGAGGUGAGUGGAAUUCCCAGUGUAGCGGUGAAAUGCGUAGAUAUUGGGAGGAACACCAGUGGCGAAGGCGGCUCACUGGACCGGUACUGACGCUGAGACGCGAAAGCGUGGGGAGCAAACAGG
rnacentral:rRNA from 1 species